rnacentral:rRNA from 1 species
GACGAACGCUGGCGGCGUGCUUAACACAUGCAAGUCGAACGAUGAAGCCUGGCUUGCUCGGUGGUUUAGUGGCGAACGGGCGAGUAAUACGUGAGUGACCUACCUUUUACUCUGGGAUAAACCUGGGAAACUGGGUCUAAUACCGGAUACGACCAAUCUCCGCCUGGGGUGUUGGUGGAAGACGUUAGGGAGUGGUGUUAGAUGGACUGACGGCCUAUCAGCUUGAUGGUGAUGGAAUGGCUUACCAAGGCGACGACGGGUAGCCGACCUGAGAGGGUGACCGGCCACACUGGGACUGAGACACGGCCCAGACUCCAACGGGAGGCAGCAGUGGGGAAUAUUGCACAAUGGGCGCAAGCCUGAUGCAGCGACGCCGCGUGCGGGAUGACGGCCUUCGGGGUGUAAACCUCUGUUAGCAUCGAAGAAGCGAAAGUGACGGUAGGUGCAGAGAAAGCGCCGGCUAACUACGUG